rnacentral:rRNA from 1 species
GACGAACGCUGGCGGCGUGCUUAACACAUGCAAGUCGAACGGAAAGGCCCUGCUUUUGUGGGGUGCUCGAUUGGCGAACGGGUGAGUAACACGUGAGUAACCUGCCCUUGACUUUGGGAUAACUUCAGGAAACUGGGGCUAAUACCGGAUAGGAGCUCCUGCUGCAUGGUGGGGGUUGGAAAGUUUCGGCGGUUGGGGAUGGACUCGCGGCUUAUCAGCUUGUUGGUGGGGUAGUGGCUUACCAAGGCUUUGACGGGUAGCCGGCCUGAGAGGGUGACCGGCCACAUUGGGACUGAGAUACGGACCAGACUCCUACGGGAGGCAGCAGUGGGGAAUAUUGCACAAUGGGCGGAAGCCUGAUGCAGCAACGCCGCGUGCGGGAUGACGGCCUUCGGGUUGUAAACCGCUUUCGACUGUGACGAGGCGUGAGUGACGGUAAUGGGUAAAGAAGCACCGGCUAACUACGUG